GUGGGGAAUUUUGGACAAUGGGCGCAAGCCUGAUCCAGCCAUGCCGCGUGAGUGAAGAAGGCCUUCGGGUUGUAAAGCUCUUUCGGCCGGGAAGAAAUCGGCGACUCUAACAUAGUCGCUGGAUGACGGUACCGGACUAAGAAGCACCGGCUAACUACGUGCCAGCAGCCGCGGUAAUACGUAGGGUGCGAGCGUUAAUCGGAAUUACUGGGCGUAAAGCGUGCGCAGGCGGUUUUGUAAGACAGAUGUGAAAUCCCCGGGCUUAACCUGGGAACUGCGUUUGUGACUGCAAGGCUAGAGUACGGCAGAGGGGGGUGGAAUUCCUGGUGUAGCAGUGAAAUGCGUAGAUAUCAGGAGGAACACCGAUGGCGAAGGCAGCCCCCUGGGCCUAUACUGACGCUCAUGUGCGAAAGCUAGGGCAGCGAACGGGAUUAGAUACCCGUGUAGUCC
rnacentral:rRNA from 1 species